rnacentral:lncRNA from 10 species
GAGUGGAAGGUGGUGCUGUGGGCCCAGGGCUGGCUGCAUCUGCCAGGUGUGCCCUGCAUUCAGGCAGAACUCGAGGGAGGACUCCCAAUAGAAGAGCGGGCACAGUGCGAGCUGGCACUCUCGUCCCCACCCAGCAGGAGGGGCUCCCUGGGAUGACAACACCCUGGAAAAGGAGAUGCCACAGCCAGAACUGGAAGCCCGGACUGCCAGCCCGGGAUCCGGGCCCCCCUGCACUGCAAGGCUACCUCAAACUGCAAGCAGUCUAGAUCCUUGGAAAAUUUUUGGAGCCUCAAGGUCAAGCCACCAUCUCAGAAGAAUCAGAUCUCAGAUGUGGACCCUGAUGAUGACAAUUGAGCCCUGGAUCAAGCCAUGCCUGAAGCCGAAGAUCUACCUCAGACAGAUCAGCUCCAGGAGGCAACAAAAUUCCUCUUCUGUUGACGCCAGUCAGGCUGCGCUUCUUGUCCCUCACGACUCCCAGCCUUCUGUUGCACCCGGCGGCUCCCUGAAGUGUGAAAUGCUACUGCAGGAGAGAGUGGGAGUGAUGGCAAGGCAAAUCCAGGCUGGGACAGGUUGGAGAGAGGGGAAAAAGGGGUGAGUUUUGCAUUUUUGAAAGCCCACACUUACCAGGUGAAGACAGUGAGUGGAUCAGGGGUGUUCCCUAUUCCUGACCCUCCAAGGCUUCUCAGAACAUCUAAUCUGGCCAUUCCUCUCUCUGUCCAUCCCCUGUCCUGCCCAGCCCUGCAGGUGCCAGCAGGUCCCCACCCAAGGCCUCUGCACCUGCUGUCCCAGCUGCCUGGGCUAUUCUGCCCUAGGGUAUCCUUGAGGCUCCAAUGGCACAUUUCAGAGUGUCCCAGAAUCCCACAAGGGGCUGAGCACACAGCAAGUUAGUGCCUUUGCCUUCCUGGAGAAACUUACACUAGGAAAGAAGCAAAAGAGAGGGAUUUAAAAAAAAAGAAGAAGAAGAAAGGAGGGCUGGGGCAGAUCCCUCAGAGGCUCCUGUGACCCCAGAUCUUCCUGGCACCAGCUCCACCGUCAGCCCACUUCUUUGGGGCAGGGGGUUGGGUGGCCCUGGACCCCACGACUGCUCCCUGCACCCCGUAAAAUAUCCCCUUUAGACAGAGAGGCAGGGUGGGGGCAGAGAGAAAGGAAAAAUAAUUACUUCUCAGCCUCUAACCUUUCCGGCAAGUGACUCAGUAAUAAAUAAUCCUCACGUCCCUCCAGUGCGAUCCAUCAGCAGGAACUCCUAAUUACUUCAGACUCACUUGAAACCGCUUCCAGUCCCACUUUCAAAUAAAUAAAAAAUUAACGUGGAGCCACAGCAGACACUCACAUGCAGGACUCCUGACCCACCUCCCAGGAGGUUUGCCUGAGACGUGUUGGGACGGAGCCCCCCGGGGCAGCCUCGUGCUCCAGAACCGCCCCAUCAGCGGUUCCAACCUUGGACCCAGGACCCAACUGUCCCAUCACAGGGCUUCUGUGCAAUGACCCCCACCCUUAGCAGGCCACUGCCUGAGCCGUCUUGUGGUCCCUGGGCACUGUGGUCUCGGGCCCAGGGUCCCCAGCCCAGUAUUGGGCAGACGUGCUGGCUGUGUCCAUUGGCCCCCAUGGCCUGGCUGCCUCCCUGGCCCAGCACAGCCUGGCCUUUCCCUUGGGGGCCUCACCGUGACCUCCGUAAGUGAGCCUAGGGUUCGGACAAGGUGACCCCAAUACCCUGCUCCUCUGGAAUUGAGCCCUGUCCCACGGGGGAGCGCAGACUUGCCCUCUGCAGUGGCCUGGGGACCUCACUGCCUGUCUCUGUCUUAACUCCACCCCACGGCACCUCCGAUCACCCCACGACUGAGGGCUUCUUUGGGGGGCCUCCUGAGAAGCCCUGUGCCCCCAGCCCUGGAUCAGCCCCCACUGCAGUGGGGGCAGGCAGGGGCCUUCCCUGAUUGUAACCAGACAGACGGGGAGGCAGGGCCCCGACCCCAUUUCCCCUCCGGCUCUGCCCUACACUGGGUACGCUACGCACAGCCACUGAUCCUCACCUGGUGUGUCCACAGCUCCAGCCUCUGUUCCUCAGCUCCAUGAGACCCAGCCUGCACUGACGGGCAGGUGGAAACCUUGCCUGGGCCCGGCCUGCUGGACAGGAGGGAGCUGGCUGGGGUGGGAGCUGCCCUCUGACCUUCCACAGCCACAGGCCAGCCCAACGCGGGCCAGGGAAGGUGUCCUGGAGACAGAAGACCCAGGGCACUGGGAAGGGCAGGGAGAGGUUUCUGGGAGCGUCCAGGCAGGGGUGGGCAGGGAGAG